rnacentral:rRNA from 1 species
UACAGAGGUCUCAAGCGUUGUCCGGAAUUAUUGGGCGUAAAGGGCUCGUAGGCGGUUUGUCGCGUCGGGAGUGAAAACACACAGCUUAACUGUGUGCUUGCUUCCGAUACGGGCAGACUAGAGGUAUGCAGGGGAGAACGGAAUUCCUAGUGUAGCGGUGAAAUGCGCAGAUAUCAGGAGGAACACCGGUGGCGAAGGCGCCACUCUGGGCCGGUACUGACGCUGAGGAGCGAAAGCGUGGGUAGCAAACAGG